rnacentral:rRNA from 1 species
UUUUAAAUUUAGAGUUUGAUCCUGGCUCAGGACGAACGCUGGCGGCGUGCUUAACACAUGCAAGUCGAGCGAUGAAGCUUCCUUCGGGAAGUGGAUUAGCGGCGGACGGGUGAGUAACACGUGGGUAACCUGCCUCAAAGUGGGGGAUAGCCUUCCGAAAGGAAGAUUAAUACCGCAUAAUAUAAGAGAAUCGCAUGAUUUUCUUAUCAAAGAUUUAUUGCUUUGAGAUGGACCCGCGGCGCAUUAGCUAGUUGGUAAGGUAACGGCUUACCAAGGCAACGAUGCGUAGCCGACCUGAGAGGGUGAUCGGCCACAUUGGAACUGAGACACGGUCCAGACUCCUACGGGAGGCAGCAGUGGGGAAUAUUGCGCAAUGGGGGAAACCCUGACGCAGCAACGCCGCGUGGGUGAUGAAGGUCUUCGGAUUGUAAAGCCCUGUUUUCUAGGACGAUAAUGACGGUACUAGAGGAGGAAGCCACGGCUAACUACGUGCCAGCAGCCGCGGUAAUACGUAGGUGGCGAGCGUUGUCCGGAUUUACUGGGCGUAAAGGGUGCGUAGGCGGAUGUUUAAGUGGGAUGUGAAAUCCCCGGGCUUAACCUGGGGGCUGCAUUCCAAACUGGAUAUCUAGAGUGCAGGAGAGGAAAGCGGAAUUCCUAGUGUAGCGGUGAAAUGCGUAGAGAUUAGGAAGAACACCAGUGGCGAAGGCGGCUUUCUGGACUGUAACUGACGCUGAGGCACGAAAGCGUGGGUAGCAAACAGGAUUAGAUACCCUGGUAGUCCACGCCGUAAACGAUGGAUACUAGGUGUAGGGGGUAUCAACUCCCCCUGUGCCGCAGUUAACACAAUAAGUAUCCCGCCUGGGGAGUACGGUCGCAAGAUUAAAACUCAAAGGAAUUGACGGGGGCCCGCACAAGCAGCGGAGCAUGUGGUUUAAUUCGAAGCAACGCGAAGAACCUUACCUGGACUUGACAUCCCUUGCAUAGCCUAGAGAUAGGUGAAGCCCUUCGGGGCAAGGAGACAGGUGGUGCAUGGUUGUCGUCAGCUCGUGUCGUGAGAUGUUAGGUUAAGUCCUGCAACGAGCGCAACCCUUGUUAUUAGUUGCUACCAUUAAGUUGAGCACUCUAAUGAGACUGCCUGGGUAACCAGGAGGAAGGUGGGGAUGACGUCAAAUCAUCAUGCCCCUUAUGUCCAGGGCUACACACGUGCUACAAUGGUAGGUACAAUAAGACGCAAGACCGUGAGGUGGAGCAAAACUUAUAAAACCUAUCUCAGUUCGGAUUGUAGGCUGCAACUCGCCUACAUGAAGCUGGAGUUGCUAGUAAUCGCGAAUCAGAAUGUCGCGGUGAAUACGUUCCCGGGCCUUGUACACACCGCCCGUCACACCAUGAGAGCUGGUAACACCCGAAGUCCGUGAGGUAACCGUAAGGA